rnacentral:lncRNA from 1 species
UUAGGCAGACUAUCAGGUAGCAAACAGCGGUCAUUUCAAGAGUUCAGAGAUCUCCAAUAAAGAGAGCUUUUGUGAGAGAGAGCUUCUUGUUGAGAGAGAAACAUUGAUAUACAAGGGUUGAGGGUAUGAUUUUCUCUUAUAAAUUUUUUCUUUUCUCAUAGUGAAGCUUGCAUGCCCCGUGGAGAUGAGUCUUUUAGCUGAUCUAUGU